rnacentral:rRNA from 1 species
UGGGGGAAUAUUGGACAAUGGGCGAAAGCCUGAUCCAGCCAUGCCGCGUGAGUGAUGAAGGCCCUAGGGUUGUAAAGCUCUUUCACCGGUGAAGAUAAUGACGGUAACCGGAGAAGAAGCCCCGGCUAACUUCGUGCCAGCAGCCGCGGUAAUACGAAGGGGGCUAGCGUUGUUCGGAAUUACUGGGCGUAAAGCGCACGUAGGCGGAUAUUUAAGUCAGGGGUGAAAUCCCCGGGGGCUCAACCCCCGGAACUGCCUUUGAUACUGGGUAUCUAGAGUAUGGUAGAGGUAAGUGGAAAUUCCGAGUGUAGAGGUGAAAAUUCGUAGAUAUUCGGAGGAAACACCAGUGGGCGAAGGCGGCUCACUGGACCAUUACUGACGCUGAGGUGCGAAAAGCGUGGGGGAGCAAAACAGGAUUAGAUACCCCUGGGUAGUCCACGCCCGUAAACGAUGGAAGCUAGCCGUUGGCAGGCUUACCUGUCGGUGGCGCAGCU